rnacentral:rRNA from 1 species
UACGUAGGUGGCAAGCGUUGUCCGGAUUUAUUGGGUUUAAAGGGUGCGUAGGCGGCCCUGUAAGUCAGUGGUGAAAUACUCCAGCUUAACUGGAGGGGUGCCAUUGAUACUGCAGGGCUUGAGUGGAGUCGAAGUAGGCGGAAUUGACGGUGUAGCGGUGAAAUGCUUAGAUAUCGUCAAGAACACCGAUAAUGAAGACAGCUUACUAGGCUUCUACUGACGCUGAGGCACGAAAGUGUGGGGAUCAAACAGG